rnacentral:rRNA from 1 species
GAUGAACGCUGGCGGCGUGCCUAAUACAUGCAAGUCGAGCGAACGGACGAGAAGCUUGCUUCUCUGAUGUUAGCGGCGGACGGGAGAGUAACACGUGGAUAACCUACCUAUAAGACUGGGAUAACUUCGGGAAACCGGAGCUAAUACCGGAUAAUAUUUUGAACCGCAUGGUUCAAAAGUGAAAGACGGUCUUGCUGUCACUUAUAGAUGGAUCCGCGCUGCAUUAGCUAGUUGGUAAGGUAACGGCUUACCAAGGCAACGAUGCAUAGCCGACCUGAGAGGGUGAUCGGCCACACUGGAACUGAGACACGGUCCAGACUCCUACGGGAGGCAGCAGUAGGGAAUCUUCCGCAAUGGGCGAAUGCCUGACGGAGCAACGCCGCGUGAGUGAUGAAGGUCUUCGGAUCGUAAAACUCUGUUAUUAGGGAAGAACAUAUGUGUAAGUAACUGUGCACAUCUUGACGGUACCUAAUCAGAAAGCCACGGCUAACUACGUG